CGGAAACAGAAGAAUUUCCCCUUAGCUUUCACACCAUAUCGUAGACCAAGAUUAUGUUUUGCGCUAUGCUUUCUGGAGUUGUUAUACUCCCUCUGAUAUUGUUCCUUGAAUGCCAUUAUGAGUCAAUGGGAAAUUUAAAACCUGUUUGUUUCUGGAGAAAAGACUCUGACACGAACAAUUCUUCAAUACCCCCAGUCCAAUUAGGCCUUAGCCCCUCAUCUAGCAUUCGUCACACACGCUCCCUCAAGAACAUUUCUCCACCACCUAUCUAUCAGCA